UAGGCUUUAGGUUGCAUGACUCAUAAAUCACCCAUAGUCACUUUUUGCUUGGGCAAAGCUUCUCUUCUUUUCAUAUAUUGCAAGAAUGUCCAAGACCAAUAUGAAAUUCUGCAAUAGUUAUUUUCUGGUUGAUCCGACCAAAGCAAGUGUUUUUGAUCUCAUUCUUCUUUUGUUUUUCCCAAAUCUUAUCAGCGCAAGAUUCAUUGAUUCUCCACCGGAUACGCUCAAUAGCGCCCGGCGAAGUUUCGCGAGUCGAUGGAUGAUUGCAUUGGCCAUUUUUCUUCAGAAAGUAUUAUUAUUCAUAAGAACACCCUUGGCAUUCAUAGGUCGUAUAGUCACCUAUUGGCCCAAUCUUCUUACGGCAAAUGGAGGUUUCUUCAACUUGAUACUUAACCUUUUGACAGGAAAGUUGGUGAAGCCUGACGAAUCGUCCGCGACAUAUGCGUCGUUUCUGGGAUGCACAGAUCGAAGAGUAGAGCUUGACCAGAAGAUAGAAGUUGGCACGAUCGAAUACAAGUCGAUGUUAUCGAUGAUGGCUUCUAAGAUCGCUUAUGAGAACAAAUCUUUCAUCACUUCCGUGGUCGAAAACACUUGGAAGAUGGACUUUGUGGGUUACUACGACUGUUACAACGCGUUCCAAGAAAAAAAUCUGACACAAGCCUUUGUGUUCAAAGCAUCGGACACAAAUCCGAACCUCAUCGUCGUCAGCUUCAGAGGAACCGAACUUUUCAGCUCUGAUGAUUGGUGUACUGAUCUUGACAUCUCUUGGUAUGAAUUGAAGAACGUUGGCAAAGUUCACGCCGGGUUCUUGAGAGCUCUAGGCCUCCAACAAAAUGGAUGGCCCAAAGAAAAUAUAAGUCUCAUACACCAAUAUGCUUACUACACAAUUAGACAGAAACUUAGGGACAUGCUUGCCAGAGACAAGAACCUUAAGUUUAUUCUAACAGGUCAUAGUCUCGGGGGCGCAAUAGCUGCUCUGUUUCCUGCGAUUCUUGCAAUUCACGGUGAGGACGAGCUACUUGAUAAGCUAGAAGGAGUCUAUACAUUUGGACAGCCACGUAUAGGGGACGAGGAGUUUGGGGAGUAUAUGAAAGAAGUAAUGAAAAAGCAUGGGAUAGAGUAUGAAAGGUUUGUUUAUAACAAUGACAUGGUGACUAGAGUCCCCUUUGAUGACAAGAUUCUGUUCGGAUACAAGCACUAUGGAUCUUGCAAUUACUUCAACAGUCUCUACAAAGGAAAGGUAAACUAAAGUAUCCGCUAUCCAAAGUAUUUAAAAUGGCACAAAAAUAGGAGAUUUGAGGUAGUCAAGGAGAAAACUCAACUUGGCUUUUAUGAGAUUUGUCAUUUACAUGAAAUUAACGUGAGAUAUAAUAAGCUAUCAUAUUUAAAAAAUUUUUUGUCCUUUUCAAAAUAGUACUAGCACUAGCUUUUGUCUGCGAAAACAGUGAAUGAUAUCGAAAAAGCCAUGUUUGUAUAUGUAUUCUUACAAUUAUUGUAAAUCUGAAAGUAAGAGAAGAUGCUCCUAAUGCCAACUACAUAAGCAUGUUGUGGCUAAUUCCAAAGCUGUUGAGUGGUGUCUGGGAGUUUAUAAGGAGUUUCAUAAUAAGGUUUUGGAAAGGCAAUGAGUACAAAGAGAAUUGGACGAUGAGAACUGUUAGAAUUGUUGGGAUAAUAAUCCCUGGUGUAUCUGAUCAUUUCCCACUUGAUUAUGUCAAUUCCACGCGCUUGGGAGGCUUGGCUCGACCUGUUGCUACUACUACCCCCCAGGAUAAACUUUAUCUCAUUGCUUGAAAUAACAUGAUGACUCGUCCCACUCAAGUCAAGCAGAAUAAAGUCCAAGGUGUGUUGAAGAAACCCAAUUUCAGAUGUAUCGAAUAAGUUUUCAAACUAAAUAAAGGAUGAUUUCAUUUACUUGUUUUUAUUUUCCCUUACUUCCUUAAUUAGAGAAGGAAUACUCUUGAGUUGUUACUUAAGGUGUUGUUUUCCCUGUAAGAAUCGAAUGGUUCUAAUUUCUUU